GUGGGGAAUAUUGGGCAAUGGGCGAAAGCCUGACCCAGCAACGCCGCGUGAAGGAAGAAGGCCUUCGGGUUGUAAACUUCUUUUAUGAGGGACGAAGGAAGUGACUGUACCUCAUGAAUAAGCCACGGCUAACUACGUGCCAGCAGCCGCGGUAAUACGUAGGUGGCAAGCGUUGUCCGGAUUUACUGGGUGUAAAGGGCGCGUAGGCGGACUGGCAAGUCAGAUGUGAAAUCCAUGAGCUCAACUCAUGAACUGCAUUUGAAACUGUUGGUCUUGAGUAUCGGAGAGGCAAGCGGAAUUCCUAGUGUAGCGGUGAAAUGCGUAGAUAUUAGGAGGAACACCAGUGGCGAAGGCGGCUUGCUGGACGACAACUGACGCUGAGGCGCGAAAGCGUGGGGAGCAAACAGGAUUAGAAACCCUUGUAGUCC
rnacentral:rRNA from 1 species